AUUCUUAUAGUUGAAUGAACAACGGUAGUUUUUCAAGUUGCUGGUCUUGGUUGAAGUCCAAGUGGGAAUA
rnacentral:tRNA from 1 species